GACGAACGCUGGUUGCUUGUCUAACACUUGUAAGUCCAACGAAUAGGCCCUGUCUGCAUGGAACUCCCAAUGGCGAACUGGGAGAAUAACAUGUGCGGUGAUCUGCCCCGCACUUGGGAACUACCCUGUGAAACUGCCUUUGAUACCUGAGAGGAGCCCUUUAUAUAGUGAGGAUGAUAACGUUUUUUCGGUGUAAGAUUACCUCGAGGUAUCCCCGGUUGUUUCUGGUGAAAUGCCAUAACAACGCGCGAGAGAGAUAACACGACUGAUGCGGUCGACUGCCACAUUAACACAGAAACACACCACACACUCUGACGAGAGGCAUGCACGACCUGUAUUGCACCGUGGGCGGAAACCUGAUUCUGUGACGCCGUGUGGGGUAUGACAGCCUUACGAAUGUACACUCCUUUCGCUAGGAACUAAUCUUUUUGUCACCCUCUCUAGAUGAGACCCCGUCGGUUCCUACGAGUUCAACCCUCGCGGUAAUACCUCCGGUGCGAGCGUUCUCAAGAAUUACUGUACGUAAAGGGCUCGCAGGUGGUUUGUCGCGUCGUCUGUGAAAUUCCGGGGCUUAACUCCGGGCGUGCAGGCGAUACGGGCAUAACUUGAGUACUGUAGGGGUAACUGGAAUUCCUGGUGUAGCGGUGAAAUGCGCAGAUAUCAGGAGGAACACCGAUGGCGAAGGCAGGCUACUGGGCAGUUACUGACGCUGAGGAGCGAAAGCAUGGGUAGCGAACAGGAUUAGAUACCCUGGUAGUCCAUGCCGUAAACGGUGGGCGCUAGGUGUGAGGGUCUUUUCACGACUUUCGUGCCGUAGCUAACGCAUUAAGCGCCCCGCCUGGGGAGUACGGCCGCAAGGCUAAAACUCAAAGGAAUUGACGGGGGCCCGCACAAGCGGCGGAGCAUGUGGAUUAAUUCGAUGCAACGCGAAGAACCUUACCUGGGCUUGACAUACACCAGAUCGCUGCAGAGAUGUAGUUUCCCUUUGUGGCUGGUGUACAGGUGGUGCAUGGUUGUCGUCAGCUCGUGUCGUGAGAUGUUGGGUUAAGUCCCGCAACGAGCGCAACCCUUGUCUUAUGUUGCCAGCACGUUAUGGUGGGGACUCAUGAGAGACUGCCGGGGUUAACUCGGAGGAAGGUGGGGACGACGUCAAGUCAUCAUGCCCCUUAUGUCCAGGGCUUCACACAUGCUACAAUGGCCGGUACAAUGCGCAGCGAGCCUGUGAGGGUGAGCUAAUCGCUUAAAGCUGGUCUUAGUUCGGAUUGGGGUCUGCAACUCGACCCCAUGAAGUCGGAGUCGCUAGUAAUCGCAGAUCAGCAAUGCUGCGGUGAAUACGUUCCCGGGCCU
rnacentral:rRNA from 1 species